rnacentral:lncRNA from 1 species
UGCUGCUGCCUUUAGCAGCAGUUUGUGCAGAAGAAAGCAGCAGCCCGAAUGCUACAUCCAAGUAUCAGAUCGAAUGCACAAUGUGUUCCUCAUGCGACAAUCCGUGUCAGCAGGUUCCAUCACCUCCACCUCCAUCUCCACCACCACCUUCACCCUCACCACCACCACCACCAGCUACAUCCAACAACAACAACUGCCCACCACCUCCAUCUCCACCCAGCUCUGGUGGUGGUGGUGGUGGUGGAAGCUACUACUACUCUCCACCGCCACCUCAAUCUGGCGGCAACAACUACUAUUAUCCACCGCCGCCGGGUGGUGUUAUUGGUGGCAUGUACUACCCUCCACCAACAUACAGAAACUACCCAACACCGCCACCUCCAAACCCUAUCGUUCCUUACUUUCCUUUCUACUACCACACUCCUCCACCUCCUUCAGGGUCUGGGAAACUGAUAGCUUGCUGGGUUUCUACUUUUGCUGCCACGCUGGGCCUUCUCCUUUGUUUCUUUUGAUAUUGAAAGCUAAAGAAGAAGAAAGAAGAAAAUAAUGUGGCAGAUUAGUAGAUCUGGGGAAACUUC